rnacentral:rRNA from 1 species
CCCUUAGAUGUCCUGGGCCGCACGCGCGUUACACUGAUGCAUUCAACGAGCUUAUAACCUUGGCCGAGAGGCCUGGGCAAUCUUGUUAACGUGCAUCGUGAUAGGGAUAGAUUAUUGAAAUUAUUAAUCUUGAACGAGGAAUUCCUAGUAAACGCAGAUCAUCAAUCUGCAUUGAUUACGUCCCUGCCCUUUGUACCCACCGCCCGUCGCACCUACCGAUUGGAUGGUCCGGUGAAGCCUCGGGAUUGUGGUUCUUGCCGCUUUAUUGUGGCGUGACCGCGAGAACUUGUCUAAACCUUAUCAUCUAGAGGAAGGUGAAGUCGUAACA